CAGUCGGCUCGGGAUUUGGUUGCGACUAUUUUAAAUAAUAAAGAUAUGCUUAGUACUCUGGCCAAUGCUUGUGUGGGACAAUGUCCUGAGACCCGUACAAAACAGUACUGUUCCUCUGAGGAAGAGGUGUGGUCCCUUUUUAAUCGAGGGCAACCUACUGCAGCAGGCCAGGCAGUUAAUCAGGUCAACCUCAUGCCUUCAACCUCACAGGACUGCCCCCCAACAGCCCCUGUAUACAACCUCCGGCCGUACACAAGAAAGGGCCAAGGACACGAGGUAAGAAUAGCUAGGCCUAUUGUUAGCUUGGUAUCAUUUUAAGGUGACUUAUUGAAGAUAAAGCACAAUAAAUGGCCGUGCUUAAUGGCACUGCGCUCUGACUCGGCACUUCUCCGGGAAUGGAGAAGCUGCUGCGGAUGCAGAGAUUUUGUGAACUGAAAGAGAAGCUUCUCAUAUAUUCUUCGCUCUUGAGUCUCCCGUAUUUGAUUAUUGAUCAUUACUAUGGAAUUAAAAAUGUGUAUUACUGCUGUAUUAACCACUGUUACACACUGUGAUGUUAUACAAGACACAAAUGUUGUCUAUCAACCACAAAAUACAUAAAUUAAUACAGUGUAAAAUAAAUUCACUGUUAACACUGCCUGUUUCUAUGCAUAAUGAUAUAUUUUCUUUCUAAGGUUUCAAGCACAAGGCAAUUCACGUCCUGGGGCUCAGUCCUUUUUCUAAGAGGUGAUUCUCCUGCCAGACAACAAAGCUACACAUGUGCCAAGGCGUACAAAAAAAGCUUGGGUUUUUGAAAACGGCCAUAUCAAGUCUGCCUUGGAAUUUAGCUGUGACUGGGAUUCUGACACAGUAAUGCAGGCAAUAACAGCAGCUUUCCAACCAGCUGUGGAGGGAUGCAGAUAAGUUUUGGAAUGGUUUUGUCAUACCUCUUUUCAUAGGAUAUUUGCAAGAAUACCAUGACAGACUAUACCACAAAAGCUUGGAUAUGCUGGGAUAUAUAACAAGAUGAACACACAUUCUGUCAAUGCAUUGUGGUUGUAAAUAGCUCAUAGCAAUUCCAUUUAAGUUUUACUGAACUGAGGUGUCCUGGUAGCUCACCUAGAGUGUGCCCUAAAGGCCAAGUCCUUCCCACAACAGCUGGGGUUCAAGUACAACCUGGGCUCUUUGCUGCAUCUCAUCUGUUGCUUUCAAAUAAAGUUAAAUUAUGAAAUGAUAUCUUUUAAAAAGUUAUCCUCAACUAAAUAAUUGAAGUUGGUUGAACAGAGAAAAUGACACAUUGUAAAUUUGUGUUCAUACAAAUGAUGUAUUGACACUAAAUAUUUUCCUUGUACUGUAGAGUGCUCUUUUAGCCUCAACAGAAGUUUCAUGUACAGUGUGUUUUUCCUUCCCUUAGGUUACAAAUCCUGCUGCCAUGCUACAACAAACUAGUUGAGCCAUCCCUUACCCCCACACAGACUUUGAAUGGAGACCUUGUGAAAAAACUGUUUCAUCAGAAGUCCAUUUAUGUCAGGCCUGACAAAAUUAUUUUAAUCAUGUUCUGAUGGAGAAAGAAGCUGUACAAAUGACCCUGGUUUGUCAGAAAUAUCUGACAUUGACAAAUGUGCACAUACCUUGACCUAUUUGAGGAAGAAUACCUCUCUGAUGACCUUGAUCUCCAGGAAGCCAUUUCCAGAUCUUUAGAUACCAGCACAAGUGAGAGUGAUUUAAAGAUGACUUUAGAGAGAAUAAUGGAGGAUAUUUCAUCUAGAGUAAAUCAUGACAGCAUCGUACGCUUCAAUAUCAUAAGAAGAAAUGUGUGGGAUGGAGCAUUCAGAGCCAUGAGCAGGUCCAAUUUUUCACCCCAGAAGGGGGUAGAUGUCAAGUUUACUGAUGAUUAUGGAAUAUCUGAGGGUGCCGUGGAUAAUGGAGGACCUACUCAGGAGUUUUUCCGACUCUGUCUUCAUGAAAUCAAGGACAAAAUUGGCAUCUUUGAAGGUCCAUUUGAUAGCAAAGUCCUCAUAUGCAACUCCAGAGGUACUCAUCUCAUUAUCUCUAGCUGCUUUAUCCUUCUACAGGGUCGCAGGCAAGCUGGAGCCUAUCCCAGCUGACUACGGGCGAAAGGCAGAGUACACCCUGGACAAGUCGCCAGGUCAUCACAGGGCUGACACAUAGACACAGACAACCAUUCACACUCACAUUCACACUUACGGUCAAUUUAGAGUCACCAGUAAACCUAACCUGCAUGUCUUUGGACUGUGGGGGAAACCAGAGCACCCGGAGGAAACCCACGCGGACACGGGGAGAACAUGCAAACUCCGCACAGAAAGGCCCUCGCCGGCCACGGGGCUCGAACUUCUUGCUGUGAGGCGACAGCGCUAACCACUACACCACCGUGCCGCCCUCCAGAAGUACUCAUGAAUAAAUUAAUUCUCACAAUGAAAGACAAUGGAUACUUCGAUGCUGGUCAGAUUAUGGCACUGUCAAUUGCCCAUGGGGGACAGAGUCCAUGUUUCCUGUCUGAACUCUUAUGAGUGUCUUCAAAAAGGUCUGGACAAUGUAAAGGUCAAAACUGAACAUAUUACUGAUGAAGAAACGAGGUCACAGUUGCAGUCGAUCUUACAAGCUGAGACAGAAUCUCAAUUGCAAGAUGCAGUUGCACAGGCAUCCAGCUUGAUUAGUCUUGCAGGUCAUAAUGUUUGCAUUACACUGCAAAACAAGCAAGAGACUGCUUUGGACUUGACUCACUGGUAUGUCCUCCAGCGGACUCGUGCACCUUUUGAAAGGUUCAGAGAUGGCUUAAUGUCUUUAGGUGUCCUAGAUGCUCUCCAGAGAUACCCUCUACAGAUGAAGUGCCUUUUUGUGAAGGCUGAAAAGAGAUUAACAGCAGCUGAAAUAGAGAAUCUCUUCCGGAUCAUUCAAUCUGAAAGAGGGAGUAAUGUAUUCGAAGAAGAGUGCUGUACCCUGGCUUUCUGGCAAGACUACCUUCAGGAUGCUGAAUUUGAAAACAAUGUCUCUCUGGAGGAUAUUCUUGUUUUCCUCACUGGAUGUGACUGUGUUCCAGCACUGGGCUUCUCUCCAAAGCCAAGCCUUGAGUUCAUUACUCAUUCCCGAUUUCCACAGGCAAAUACUUGUGAAAAUAUUCUUCGCAUUCCGGUUCAUGCUGAAUACACUGCUUUCAAAUCUGACAUGGAUUUUGCCAUACGCAAUUCACCAGGGUUUGGAAGAGCGUGAGAUGAAGGGCUUUUAGAGCUUGAGUUAUGAUGAUGUUUGCUUGUUUUUCAAAAAUAAUUGCUGCUAUUUCAUUUUGUUUUACCUAUAGACAGUAUUUGAAUGAGGGCAUGAAGAAAUAUAAGUAGAAAUGUUCUUUGUUACUUUCAAAGAUAUAUUUCAAACCAUAGUUUUGUGUUUUCACAUUUAAUAAUGUGCACUUGGUGAACUUUUAUGUUGACAGUGUCAUUUACCUACAGCCUCUGAUAUGACACAAAACAGGUUAUGGUAAGGCCUUCUUAAUAAAUGGCUCUGUGUUCCUA